CUGUGAGCUGAUGUAACAGAACCUAGUCGCUUGGCUUUCCUCCGAGUGCGCUGUGAUGCUACUCAGCAAUGAUGCAUCAGCAGGAGUUCAAAACGAGAUGGUGGGUUGGGUAAUUGGCCUUGUAAAUUGGGGAGAAAAUGGGAAGAAAAAUCACUAGCUUCUUAUAAUUCAAGCUCAUGUGGCAACAAGUGAGAGAUAUAUAUUCAUGAAGGAAUGAAGAAAAUUUAAAAUCUGACAAUAUUUAAGUUAAAGUAACUGAAAUUCAAUCGUAAUUGUCUUAAAUAAUAGCAUAGUAUAGUAAGGAGAGUACACCCAUGCUAACAUGCUAAACUAGCUCCACUGCAGUCAUUAGCCUAUCUUCCAUUUCUCAGGGUCAUGGAGCAGUAAGUGGGUGGUGAGCUUCUCCAGAAAAGACAUCUGCGUCUGGGCCGGAACCACAGUAACGCUGCCCUGCCGCUACGAUUACCCGUCGCCCUACUCUGCCAAGCAGGUGAUAUGGUUCCACAUCACAGCGGACGGCAGAUGGGACAUAGCCUACCACACAGACGCUAACAUGGUGAGCCCCUCCUACAGAGACAGGAUCAAGUACAUGGGGGGCUACAAGAGGUGCAGUCUGCAGAUCACCAACGUUAAGCUGAGCGAUGACGGCCAGUACCACUUCAGGUUCGAGACGGACCAGCCGCAGAGCAGGUGGACCUCACCAGACUCCAUCAGUCUGUCAGUGACGGUUCUGCAGGUACAAGUGCGUCCAGCUCGUAUUGGGAACAUGUUUGCUUCAGGAGAGACUGUGUUUCUGAGCUGUGUAGCUCGAGGCUGUGCAGCCGCCAGCAGGAACUUCGCCCUUUAUCGGAAUGGGGUCAACUUAGGAUACGCAGACAAGGUGUCCACCAUCUACAACUUCAACAACCAGCAUGCUGGUACCUACUACUGCAGACCAGUCCCCCCCCAGAACGUCCAGUCCCCAGGCAUCACCCUGGCUGUGGGAUGUGAGUAGAUAAUAAUAUGCUUUAAGACUUUGUUUGACCUCUGGUGCUAAGCUUGACUAAAAACACCAAACAGUUAGUGUUAAGUUCUUCUGUAAUUCCAAACAACUGUAAUGUGGUUUUCUGAUACUGUUUUACACAGUGUUAUCUGUAAAAAAUUACAAAAUUAUGUUGGAAUUAUAAGUGGGUUGAGUAAUUGGCUGUGCUAAAUUGGAGAGAAAAAAGGAAAAAAAAAA
rnacentral:lncRNA from 1 species